UCUACGGGAGGCAGCAGUGAGGAAUAUUGGUCAAUGGGCGUAAGCCUGAACCAGCCAAGUCGCGUGAGGGAUGAAGGUUCUAUGGAUCGUAAACCUCUUUUAUAAGGGACUAAAGUGUGGUACGUGUCCUCUUUUGUAUGUACCUUAUGAAUAAGGAUCGGCUAACUCCGUGCCAGCAGCCGCGGUAAUACGGAGGAUCCGAGCGUUAUCCGGAUUUAUUGGGUUUAAAGGGUGCGUAGGCGGGAGGCCAAGUCAGCGGUAAAAAUGCGGUGCUCAACGCCGUCGAGCCGUUGAGAAUGGCGUGCUUGAGUGGGCGAGAAGUAUGCGGAAUGCGUGGUGUAGCGGUGAAAUGCAUAGAUAUCACGCAGAACUCCGAUUGCGAAGGCAGCAUACCGGGGCCCUACUGACGCUGAGGCACGAAAGCGUGGGUAUCGAACAGGAUUAGAUACCCGGGUAGUC
rnacentral:rRNA from 1 species